CAGAAGAAGGAGGAGGACAAGGAGGAGGAGGUGGAGGAGAAGGAAGAGGAAAGAAAGCAGCAGCAGCAGCAGCAAAAGGAACAAUGAAGAAGAAGAAGGAAGGGGAAGAGGGGAAGAAGAGGAAUAAGCAGCUAUUUUUGCCUUUAAUUUUCUUAUCAACCAAGAAGAGCAAUCCAUUGACACUGUCUUGUGUUAGGACCAUUUCUGGUAAAUAAAGUCAUCCUGAGUGAGCUGUCCCAGAAGCAAAAGGAAACACAUGAUAUAUACUCACUCAUAUAGACAUGUAAUACAGGAUAAACCUAUUACAAUCUGUACAUCUAAAGAAACUAAUCAAGAGAGAGGACCCUGACUAAAGUGCCCAAUCCCUAUCCUGAAAGGCAAAGAGGAUGGACAUCAGAAGAAGAAGAAAACAGGAAACAACCUAGGAACCUGCUACAGAGGGCCUCUGAAAGCCAGAAGAAGAAAACAGGAAACAAACUAGGAACCUGCCACAGAGGGCCUUUGAAAGCCUCUGCCCUGCAGACUAUCAAAGCAGAUGCUGAGACUUAUGGCCAACUGUUGGGCGAUGUGCAUGGAAUCUUAUGUAAGAAGUGGGAAAUAGUAAGAUCUGGAGUGGACAGGAACUCCACAAGGAGAGCAACAGAACCAGAAAUUUGAACACAGAGGUCUUCCCAAAGACUCAUGCUCAAACCAAGUACCAGGCAUGGAGGUCCCCUUCCUUGUUCGCAAGAUCUUUUCCCCUUUGAAAAGAACAGGCCUUCCAGUGAUAUUGACCCAACACAGCAGAACAAGAGGCAGAAAGGCCGAAUCCCUCACCCUUCAAGGCUGGAUGAAGCAACCCAGUAGGACAAAAAGGGUCCCGGAAGCAGGAAAAAGAGCCAGUGCACCCCCACUCCUCCCACUGUUAGGAGUCCAGUGAAAACUCCAAGCUGAACACCCGCAGCAGAUCAGUGCCUUGGAAUACCCAUACCUAAAUGGGAUGUCUCCACCAAAUCCUCCCCUCAGAACUCAGGAAUCCAGUGGAAGAGAAGAUGGAAAGAGUGUAAGAUCCAGAAAGGAAGAAGGAUGACAGAAAACAAGGCCCUUCAAUUCAACUGAACAAAGCUUAUUUGAACUUACAGAGACUGAAGCAGCACUCACAGGGCCUCUAUGGGUCUGCACCAGGUUCUUUGUUUCCAGUUUGGUCAUUUUAUGGGGUUCCUGAGUGUGUAAACAAGGGGUUCUCUGAUUAUUGUGCCUCCUCUUGGGCUCCUUUUCUCUUGUUGGUUUGU